rnacentral:rRNA from 1 species
CGCGAAGAACCUUACCAGGGCUCGAACGUGCGUUGACAGUCGCGGAAACGUGAUCUUCUUCGGACAACGUGCGAGGUGCCGCAUGGCUGUCGUCAGCUCGUGCCGUGAGGUGUUGGGUUAAGUCCCGCAACGAGCGCAACCCCCAUCUUCAGUUGCCAACGGGUCAUGCCGGGAACUCUGAAGAAACUGCCGUCGUAAGACGCGAGGAAGGAGGGGAUGAUGUCAAGUCAUCAUGGCCUUUAUGCCCAGGGCUACACACGUGCUACAAUGGGGAGGACAAUGGGCUGCUACCUGGCAACAGGAUGCUAAUCUCAAAAACCUUUUCUCAGUUCAGAUUGUAGUCUGCAACUCGACUACAUGAAGCUGGAAUCGCUAGUAAUCGCGCAUCAGCAAUGGCGCGGUGAAUACGUUCCCGGGCCUUGUACACACCG